rnacentral:rRNA from 1 species
UACGGAGGGGCUAGCGUUGUUCGGAAUUACUGGGCGUAAAGCGCACGUAGGCGGAUAUUUAAGUCAGGGUGAAAGUCCCGGGCUCAACCCCGGAACUGCCUUUGAUACUGGGUAUCUGGAGGUCGAGAGGAGGCGAGUGGAAUUCGAGUGUAGAGGUGAAAUUCGUAGAUAUUCGGAGGAACACCAGUGGCGAAGGCGGCUCGCUGGCUCGAUACUGACGCUGAGGUGACGAAAGCGUGGGGGAGCAAACAGG